rnacentral:lncRNA from 1 species
AUUGAGACCACCACCAGCGUGGUCCCACCGUUAGUUAUCAGGGGAAACAACCACAGGGGCUUGCUGAGACGAUGUUUGGAGAUUCAGUGUGAUAGGUUUCCCUUAUUGAAUCUUUCCGCGCUACAGGUGUUAGUUCAAAUUUGGCUUUCGGUCCCAGAGCAAUGGUAAGGAUGAGUUGGUUAUUUUAGGCUGUAAUCUUGGCUGGUUCUUUGGUUUGUUUAUUUUUGGUGAUUGAUGAAUCCAGUGGUUAGUAUUGACAGGGAACGGAGGAGCUUUGUUUGCUUUUCUGGUAAGUGGUGGAUCGGUUGGAGGUGAAGAUACUGGUUCUGUUGUGUUUUUUCUGGUGGGUAUCUAGCUUAACAGCAAAGAGGAUGGUUUUUGAAACGGAUUAACAGCAAAGGGGGAUUUUCACAGCUUCACUGUGCAGGGUGUGCUGAGGGAAAGGAGAUGAAAGUGCUCGGUGAGAAUGUAAAGUAAAGAAUGGAGCAGACUCAUACCACAGUACAUACUCAAGCAAAAUCAAGCACACAAUGCGGUACAAUGCAGUAAUAUUACAUGGCUAUACAAGUGAGCAAGGUGCUUACCUUAGCCUAGUGCCGCCGACGACCUUCUCCCUAUUUUUUGCUGGCUUUGUUUUUCUCUUUAGGUGAAUGGUGGAUUAAUCACUUUAACACUGUGUGUUCUUCUCUUUGUUUUUUUUUUUUGGCUAAAGAUCCUCCUCUUUGGUUGUUGUUGCUCCGGAAUGUUAAGGUGGAUGAAUGGUGUCUCUGAGAGAUGAUAAAUGUAGUGGAUGAUAGGUUGAAACAAUGAGGCACGGUCUGUGAUGGUGAAAACGGCUGUGGUGAUGGGUAAAUGUGAGUUGUGUGUGAUGAAUUCUGAAGGAUGGUGAUGAAGACGUUUUUGUGAUUACGGGUGUCUCCCCCUUGACCAUAGGAAUGGAGAGUAUGAGUGUGUUUUUCUUGCUUGUCUGCCAAAACCGUUUUUUAUGCCAAUGCAUCUCUACCAAAACCAAAUUAGCCUCUGCCAAUUUGCAAAACGUUCUCUACCCCCACCUCCCGUGUCUUUCCUCUCGACCAAACCAAAUUCUUCUUUUUUUCCCCCAAACAACAAAGCCACCUUUUCUUUUUCUUUUUUC